UUUGAUGCCUUGCUCUUCAAGAGAAUAUAAUUGUGCAUUUGUGUGUUGCCUAAUUCAAAAAGUCCAAGGGAAUUUUGGGUUUCUAUUGACAUACUUGUCUAUUGGAUUGCUACCCAUUUGGUCAGAUUUUUUCAACUCUAAACUUUUAAAUUUUGUGCAUAGGAUAGUCUCUUCAUCUUCUCCCCAUUUCUUUAAUUUCAAAAUCU
rnacentral:lncRNA from 1 species